GAUGAACGCUAGCUACAGGCUUAACACAUGCAAGUCGAGGGGAAACGAUAGAGAAAGCUUGCUUUUUCUAGGCGUCGACCGGCGCACGGGUGAGUAACGCGUAUCCAACCUGCCCACCACUUGGGAAUAACCUUGCGAAAGUAAGACUAAUACCCAAUGAUAUCUCUAGAAGACAUCUGAAGGAGAUUAAAGAUUUAUCGGUGAUGGAUGGGGAUGCGUCUGAUUAGCUUGUUGGCGGGGUAACGGCCCACCAAGGCGACGAUCAGUAGGGGUUCUGGGAGGAAGGUCCACCACAUUGGAACUGAGACACGGUCCAAACUCCUACGGGAGGCAGCAGUGGGGAAUAUUGGUCAAUGGGCGAGAGCCUGAACCAGCCAAGUAGCGUGCAGGAUGACGGCCCUAUGGGUUGUAAACUGCUUUUAUAAGGGAAUAAAGUGAGCCUCGUGAGGCUUUUUGCAUGUACCUUAUGAAUAAGGACCGGCUAAUUCCGUGCCAGCCGCCGCCGUAA
rnacentral:rRNA from 1 species